GGUCAAUGUGCUUGUUUUUAUAUAUUUGAAAUUUUGGUGGGAAAUGUUGUCUCUUGACUUUUCAUAGCUUUAUCAUUGACAAGUUUAAGUUCUCAAAAACUAUUAAAAAAUAACUAAAAUUCUGUAAGACUAUUACAGAUGGCUUAUAAUUAAACAUGUAAAAGAUUUAUAAAAAGAAAUAAUGGGGGUCAAUGGACAAUUUAUUUAAGGCAUUCAAAUUGAUAAAUCAGAGGAUUUCAAAAAUCUGACAAAAAUUCCAAAACAUGACAAGCAAACCUCCUUAAAAACUCUGUUGAAAUGUACCAACAUAUGCAUGAUGAAUAUAUGGAGAGUUGUCUCAUUAGCACUCAUUACACAUCUUCUUAUAUAUGUAUGUGAAUAAUUUACAUAUUGUUAUGUUAGAACCUUUUAUAGUUUGAAAUGGGAUACGUUUUAAUCAUUUUUGAAGUCAUUUUUACACCCUAAAGUUGCCUUCUGCUAUGUAAUUUGGUCUCUUGUGAAUUUUUGUCUCAUUAACAAGCAUAACGCAUCUCCAUAUUUCAUAAGACCUUUUUAAAUGAACACAUGAAAGGAUACCCAAAAUAAUUUAUGAUUUACCUUUAAAAUGAUUAUAUUACUUCAUGGGCAUAUGAUCUCAAAGUAAGUAAAGUUAUAAAUAUCUGAUCAGUCAUUUAGAUGUUGUGCUGACCAGAGACUAUCAAAACUUAUAUUGCAAUGUUGAAAUAUUUCAGUUUAAUUAAUUAUCUCCCCUGUAAUAUACAUGCAGUUACUAGCAAUAGCCUGUUUAUCAACAAACAAAAGAAUAUCCUAACUCUUAAAAUUCAUUAUCUCCCUUUGUUAGACCAGUUUAAUAUUCCUUAAUGCAAGUUCUCAUGUUGUAUUUUACAACUGUGUUAAGUUUCAUCAUUAUCUAUAUAUUCAUUUUGGACAAUUGAGCUGAAAAUGCAGACAUCUAGACUGACAGGAGUUUCUUAUGUUUGAGAGAAUGAAUUUAAAAAUGCAUAUACAUUUUUUGAAAGUAUAAGAACAAUUCAAACAUAUCAUAAGGGUGUCCUAAAGAGGAAAACUGUCACACUCAUGGGGCCUCUUAUUAAAGGGUUAAUCCUGUCAUUUUCAAAAUCAGGUACUUUACUUAUAUAUGUAUUUUUUU
rnacentral:lncRNA from 1 species